CCCCAUGUGGUGUAGUGGUUUGAGUGUUUGACUAUGACUCUGGAGACCAGGCUUCAAUUCCCUGCUUAGCCA